rnacentral:rRNA from 1 species
UACGUAGGUGGCAAGCGUUAUCCGGAUUUAUUGGGCGUAAAGGGAACGCAGGCGGUCUUUUAAGUCUGAUGUGAAAGCCUUCGGCUUAACCGGAGUAGUGCAUUGGAAACUGGGAGACUUGAGUGCAGAAGAGGAGAGUGGAACUCCAUGUGUAGCGGUGAAAUGCGUAGAUAUAUGGAAGAACACCAGUGGCGAAAGCGGCUCUCUGGUCUGUAACUGACGCUGAGGUUCGAAAGUGUGGGUAGCAAUCAGG